rnacentral:rRNA from 1 species
CGGACGGGUGAGUAACGCGUGGGUAACCUGCCCUGUACAGGGGGAUAACAGUCAGAAAUGACUGCUAAUACCGCAUAAGACCACAGCACCGCAUGGUGCAGGGGUAAAAACUACCGGUGGUACAGGAUGGACCCGCGUCUGAUUAGCUGGUUGGUGAGGUAACGGCUCACCAAGGCGACGAUCAGUAGCCGGCUUGAGAGAGUGAACGGCCACAUUGGGACUGAGACACGGCCCAAACUCCUACGGGAGGCAGCAUG